GUUGGCUCAGAAGCAGCCACUCAUUCAAAGAGUGCGUAAUAGCUCACUGGUCGAGUGAUUUUGCGCCGAAAAUUUAACGGGGCUAAACUGUACACCGAAGCUUGGGAAUAUACCUUAUGGUAUGUUGGUAGGAGAGCGUCGUAUGCGGGGUGAAGUCGUAGCGAAAGCGGCGGUGGACUGCAUAGGAGUGAGAAUGCCGGAAUGAGUAGCGAGAAUUAUGUGAGAAUCAUAAUGGCCGAAAGACUAAGGUUUUAGAAGGAAGGUUCGUCCGCUUCUAGUUAGCCGGGAGCUAAGGCGAGGCCGAAAGGCGUAGUCGAUGCACAUACGGUUGAGAUUCCGUAGCCACCUUAAAUUUAAACUAAGGGACACAUUGAAAGGGAAUAACCCAGGCGUUGGUUGACCUGGGCGUAAGGGAACGAAAAUAAGUAGUGAAGUAUUCUUGGACAGUGGCGAGAAAAGCUUAGUGUAUAUUAUUAGGGUGCCCGUACUGCAAACCGACACAGGUAGUCAGGAAGAGAAUUCUAAGGCCAUCGGGAGAAGCGUUGUUAAGGAACUCGGCAAAUUGACCCCGUAACUUCGGAAUAAGGGGUGCUCACGAGAGUGAGCCGCAGUGAAUAGGUCCAGGCAACUGUUUAUCAAAAACACAGCUCUCUGCUAAAUCGUAAGAUGACGUAUAGGGGGUGACACCUGCCCGGUGCUGGAAGGUUAAGAGGAGGAGUGCAAGCCCCGAAUCGAAGCCCCAGUAAACGGCGGCCGUAACUAUAACGGUCCUAAGGUAGCGAAAUUCCUUGUCGGGUAAGUUCCGACCCGCACGAAUGGUGUAAUGAUCUGGACACUGUCUCAACAACGCACCCGGCGAAAUUGUAGUACCGGUGAAGAUGCCGGUUACCCGCGGCAAGACGGAAAGACCCCAUGGAGCUUUACUGUAACUUAAUAUUGGGUCUCGGUACUUUAUGUACAGGAUAGGCGGGAGACUUGGAAACUAGCACGCCAGUGUUAGCGGAGUCAUCCUUGGGAUACCGCUCUUAAGGUAUUGAGAUUCUAACCUGCAGCCUUGAAUCAGGUUGGGGGACAUUGUUAGGUGGGCAGUUUGACUGGGGCGGUCGCCUCCAAAAGAGUAACGGAGGCGUUCAAAGGUUGGCUCAGCAUGGACGGAAACCAUGCUUUAGAGUAUAAACGCAUAAGCCAGCCUAACUGCGAGACUGACGGGUCGAGCAGUAACGAAAGUUGGAGUUAGUGAUCCGGCGGUAUGUGAGUGGAAAUGCCGUCGCUCAACGGAUAAAAGCUACCCUGGGGAUAACAGGCUGAUCU
rnacentral:rRNA from 1 species